UACAGAGGGUGCAAGCGUUAAUCGGAAUUACUGGGCGUAAAGCGUGCGCAGGCGGUUUUGUAAGUCAGAUGUGAAAUCCCCGGGCUCAACCUGGGAACUGCGUUUGAAACUACAAGGCUAGAGUGUAGCAGAGGGGGGUGGAAUUCCACGUGUAGCAGUGGAAAUGCGUAGAGAUGAUGGAGGAACACCGAUGGCGAAGGCAGCCCCCUGGGUUAACACUGACGCUCAGGCACGAAAGCGUGGGAGC
rnacentral:rRNA from 1 species